rnacentral:rRNA from 1 species
UACGGAGGGUGCGAGCGUUGUCCGGAAUCACUGGGCGUAAAGGGCGCGUAGGCGGCGCGUUAAGUGGCUGGUGAAAUCCCGGGGCUCAACUCCGGGGCUGCCGGUCAGACUGGCGAGCUAGAGCACGGUAGGGGCAGAUGGAAUUCCUGGUGUAGCGGUGAAAUGCGCAGAUAUCAGGAGGAACACCGGUGGCGAAGGCGGAUCUCUGGGCCAUUACUGACGCUGAGGAGCGAAAGCGUGGGGAGCGAACAGG